UUCCUUUUAUCGUCCACCCGGAGCCCCACGGCAGCUAAUGCUAGAGGCCAAAAAUGUUUUGGAGGAAGAAAAACAAAGGCAGGAAGUGGCGGCAGCCUGACGGUGCGUGUGUGUCUGCGGAGACGAAGGGAGGGAGCUGUUUCAAUCUCUUCUUGUUUUUCCAAACUUGAAGGUCUAGGCUG
ensembl:misc_RNA